rnacentral:rRNA from 1 species
UGCACGAAAGCGUGGGGAGCGAACAGGAUUAGAUACCCUGGUAGUCCACGCCGUAAACGAUGAUCACUCGCUGUUAGCGAUACACUGUUAGCGGCUAAGCAAAAGCAUUAAGUGAUCCACCUGGGGAGUACGGCCGCAAGGCUGAAACUCAAAGGAAUUGACGGGGGCCCGCACAAGCGGAGGAACAUGUGGUUUAAUUCGAUGAUACGCGAGGAACCUUACCUGGGCUUAAAUGUAGAGUGCAUGAGGUAGAAACACUUCUUUCCUUCGGGACUCUUUGCAAGGUGCUGCAUGGUUGUCGUCAGCUCGUGCCGUGAGGUGUCGGGUUAAGUCCCAUAACGAGCGCAAUCCUUAUCGUUAGUUGCCAGCGGGUAGAGCCGGGAACUCUAACGAAACUGCCGGUGUAAACCGAGAGGAAGGUGGGGAUGACGUCAAAUCAGCACGGCCCUUAUGUCCAGGGCUACACACGUGUUACAAUGGCCGGUACAGAGGGCAGCUACCUGGAGACAGGAUGCGAAUCUCGAAAGCCGGUCUCAGUUCGGAUCGGAGUCUGCAACUCGACUCCGUGAAGCUGGAUUCGCUAGUAAUCGCGCAUCAGCCUUGGCGCGGUGAAUACGUUCCCGGGCCUUGUACACACCGCCCGUCAAGCCAUGGAAGUUGGGGGUACCUGAAGUCCGUAACCGCAAGGAGCGGCCUAGGGUAAAACCAGUGACUGGGGCUAAGUCGUAACAAGGUAACCA